UAGGGAAUCUUCCGCAAUGGGCGAAAGCCUGACGGAGCAACGCCGCGUGAGUGAUGAAGGUCUUCGGAUCGUAAAACUCUGUUAUUAGGGAAGAACAAAUGUGUAAGUAACUAUGCACAUCUUGACGGUACCUAAUCAGAAAGCCACGGCUAACUACGUGCCAGCAGCCGCGGUAAUACGUAGGUGGCAAGCGUUAUCCGGAAUUAUUGGGCGUAAAGCGCGCGUAGGCGGUUUUUUAAGUCUGAUGUGAAAGCCCACGGCUCAACCGUGGAGGGUCAUUGGAAACUGGAAAACUUGAGUGCAGAAGAGGAAAGGGGAAUUCCAUGUGUAGCGGUGAAAUGCGCAGAGAUAUGGAGGAACACCAGUGGCGAAGGCGACUUUCUGGUCUGUAACUGACGCUGAUGUGCGAAAGCGUGGGGAUCAAACAGG
rnacentral:rRNA from 1 species